rnacentral:rRNA from 1 species
UACGUAGGAGGCGAGCGUUGUCCGGAAUUACUGGGUGUAAAGCGCGUGUAGGCGGCCAGAUAGGUCUGCUGUGAAAACUCGAGGCUCAACCUCGAGCUGUCGGCGGAAACCAUCUGGCUAGAGUCCGGAAGAGGAGAGUGGAAUUCCUGGUGUAGCGGUGAAAUGCGCAGAUAUCAGGAAGAACACCUAUGGCGAAGGCAGCUCUCUGGGACGGUACUGACGCUGAGACGCGAAAGCGUGGGGAGCGAACAGG